rnacentral:rRNA from 1 species
CCUACGGGCGGCAGCAGUGAGGAAUAUUGGUCAAUGGCCGGAAGGCUGAACCAGCCAUGCCGCGUGAAGGUCAGUGCCCUAUGGGCGUUAAACUUCUUUUGUGCGGGAGCAAUACUGGUCACGUGUGGCCAGACGAGAGUACCGUACGAAUAAGCAUCGGCUAACUCCGUGCCAGCAGCCGCGGUAAUACGGGCGGUGCAAGCGUUAUCCGGGUUUUAUGGGUUUAAAGGGGCCGUUGGCUGUGAGGUAAGUCAGCGGGGAAAUGCCCCCGGUCAACGGGGUGAAGUGCCAUUGAUACUGCCUUGCUGGAAUGCGGAUGCGGUAGGAGGAAUGUGUGGUGUAGCGGUGAAAUGCAUAGAUAUCACGCAGAACACCGAUUGCGAAGGCAUCUCACGAAUCCGCGAUUGACGCUGAUGCACGAAAGCGUGGGUAUCAAACAGGAUUAGAUACCCCAGUAGUC